AGAUUGAACGCUGGCGGCAUGCUUUACACAUGCAAGUCGAGCGGCAGCGCGGGGGCAACCCUGGCGGCGAGCGGCGAACGGGUGAGUAAUACAUCGGAACGUGUCCCGUAGUGGGGGAUAACCCGGCGAAAGCCGGACUAAUACCGCAUAUGCUCUACGGAGGAAAGUGGGGGACCCGCAAGGGCCUCACGCUAUGGGAGCGGCCGAUGUCCGAUUAGCUUGUUGGUGGGGUAAUGGCCUACCAAGGCGACGAUCGGUAGCUGGUCUGAGAGGAUGAUCAGCCACACUGGGACUGAGACGCGGCCCAGACUCCUACGGGAGGCAGCAGUGGGGAAUUUUGGACAAUGGGGGCAACCCUGAUCCAGCCAUGCCGCGUGCGGGAAGAAGGCCUUCGGGUUGUAACCGCUUUGUCCGGGAAGAAAGGCACCACCUAAUACGGGGUGCUCUUGACGGUACUGGAAGAAUAAGCACCGGCUAACUACGCGCCAGCAGCCGCGGU
rnacentral:rRNA from 1 species